rnacentral:rRNA from 2 species
UGGGGAAUAUUGCACAAUGGGGGAAACCCUGAUGCAGCAACGCCGCGUGAGUGAUGAAGGCCUUCGGGUUGUAAAGCUCUGUCUUCAGGGACGAUAAUGACGGUACCUGAGGAGGAAGCCACGGCUAACUACGUGCCAGCAGCCGCGGUAAUACGUAGGUGGCAAGCGUUGUCCGGAUUUACUGGGCGUAAAGGGAGCGUAGGCGGAUACUUAAGUGGGAUGUGAAAUACCUGGGCUUAACUUGGGUGCUGCAUUCCAAACUGGGUGUCUAGAGUGUUGGAGAGGAAAGUGGAAUUCCUAGUGUAGCGGUGAAAUGCGUAGAGAUUAGGAAGAACACCAGUGGCGAAGGCGACUUUCUGGACAAUAACUGACGCUGAGGCUCGAAAGCGUGGGGAGCAAACAGG